GACAGAAACACGGAGAGGGCUAGGAAGAGGAAGACGUGGACUGUGUACGAGGAGGAGUUGGUGCAGGGACGGAAGCCAAAGCGCAGCCCAGGUAUCGCCGGACAUUGGCAUCUUGGUAAGAAGAAGAAGAAAAGGAAUUAAGUAAUUCAGAUCUCCAGAUCAGAGUUGAAGAAGGAAUUUGCUUCCUGGGGAGUGGAGUUCCCAACACCACUGAAAUCACAGAUCCAAACCAAGAAAAUUGCAUCCGACUGUAGUGCUGCAUCAGGAGUCUAAAGUAGGAUGAUGGAAUAAGGAAGACCUGAGGAACCUCUACUGAUACCAACUGCAGCUGGGCAGUGUUCGAGAGCGUCCCUGGAACACAUGGUCAGGAUGGGUCAGAGGCCGAAUGACACCCAGAUUUCCUACUUUGGACCCUGGCCCUCAGCCUCGACUACAGUGUUAUGUGCACAAACAUUGUAAAAAAGCGGUUCUGUGGGAGCCAUUUCCUUGGGCAUCCUCCUCUGUGUGCAAAAGGACAGCCACUCCCUGGUUCCUGACCUUUGCACGCCCAGGGAGCCCUGGCCUGGCGUUCUCUUAUGACCUUCCCAACACAAAUCUGAUCACAGAACUGUCAGCUUCUUUCACAAGCCACCACUUCUUCUGGGACCGAAAAGGAAAUGGGAACCACCUGCUGCCUUUCUUAACAAUGGCUUCGUCUGAACGCACAGGAUUCACAGAUUCUAGCGCUGAGGAUGAAGAGUCACCCCAGCAGACUGUCCGGGCGACGGCGGGUCUUGUUACCGCUUCUACCCUUGCAAUGUGACGCUCGAUCACAAAGCAUCUCGGCCAGGGUUUUGUUCUUGGCCUGUUCUGAUGCCAAAAGAAUAUUGUUGGCAACGAAAUAAACAUGCUGAAAGCCCGGGAGCAAAAGGGCAGCCCUGGCGGCGUCUCAGCGGCAGCACCACCUCUCCUGCUUCUCCAUGCUGAGAACGGCUUUCUGAGGUACAGGAACAAAGGACAGAACAGGGGAACGCACAACACUGGAGUCACUGUUACACAGCCCGGUCCGCGUGUCCACAGUGUCGUCUGUCCAGCGCCGGCCCAUCUCCCUUACAGCUUGUUGAUUUAAAGUUAGUAACGCACUUAGAAGCCCCAGAAGAGCGUCAAGGGCCGUACAAACGUGGGAAUCCCAACUGCAUGUCUUUUGUGUCGCGCCACCAGUGCUCAGACCAGCCUCAGUGGCACACAGCUGCAGUCCCUGCAGCGGGGGAGGCUGGGGCAGGUCAGUGGCUUUAGCUGAGGCCCUCUGCUCUUCUUACUUGGGGAUCUCCUCGGCGUUCAUGGACUGAGUGACAGUCUUGAUAUAAACGAUUCUCAAACCUGCUUCUCCUGCCCUGACUUCUCCACUGACCUCCAGUCUCACAUCUCCAACUGUCCUUCUAACAUCUUGAACUGGAUGUCCAGGAGACAACCCUCCCCUCUUCCUAACUCUCCUAUUGCUGUUGAGGGCAGCAUCCUCCCGGUCUGGCAGGCUUACAACCCCCUCAUCUUUGACUCCCCACUCACGGUGUCCGUCUUCCUAACAUCUCUCCUAUACCUUCCCUUUCUCCUGGGGACACCGGCCCCACCCUGAUGCACCCUCAUCAUGUCAUACCUGAACUCUAACCAGCUGGUGGAUCUAUCUCCCUGCCUCGUGUCUCCCCCGACUCCAGUCCAUGCCGCGCUCAACAGCUGCCAAACUGAUCUUCCUAAAACAAAUUCUCAUUGUAUUUCUCCCCUCUCCCCUUCAAUAAACUGCACUGGCUCCCUAUUACCUCCAGGAUCAACUCUAAAAUCCUCUUUGGCUGUUAAAGCCCCUCAAUGACCUGGGCCCUUCCUGCCUUUCCAGUCUUUCCCUCUUUGCUCCUCUACUCCUCAACCCCAGGACACCGGCCUCCUGGCCGUUCCCACAACAUGAUGCUCCCCCAUCCCUGGACCGCCCUCCCUCCUCAUCUCCUGUGUCGUGGCUUCCUUCCAGUCUCCGCCAAUGUCCUACCUUCCUCGGGAAGCCUUUCCCACACCUCCCUCGUCUUGGAGCCUUCCUUCUGAGACCGUCACCGAGUGAUCUGUCUGUCUGUAUCUUGUGGGCACAGAUGCACUGCUUGUUGUUUUCCUCUUUGGACUGGGAGCUCCUGGAGGGCAGGGGUUGUUUUUUGUCUUUUUUUUUUUUUAAAUCUCCAGAGUGCUUAGCACAUAGUAAGUGCUUAGUAAAUGGUAGCAGAUUGAGUGACUGCAGUAGGAUAAAGGUUAGUCUGACAUCAGAUGGUUAGCUCCCAGGAAUGGAGGAUGCAGAGGUGUGGAGGUGUGGAGGUGUGAACUGGGAAGGCUGGAAAAAGGGAGCAUGGGGUCGGGCCCAAGAGUGAUUGUCCUUCUUCCCAGCCUACUGGACAGGGGAGACAGUCUUUAAGAAAAAAAAAAUUAAAACCAAAAAACACUCCUUGGA